rnacentral:lncRNA from 1 species
CGCCCGGCCCGGCAGCUCUCCCAGCGCGGUCCCGCCGAUCUCCUCGGCCCCGAGCCCUGCUGCCGCCGCUCCUGUCGCCACCGUCGUCGUCGUCGCCGCCGCCGAAGGACUCGCGCUGCCGCGCCCCCCCGCCGAUGAAGCGUUGCGCGCACGCGCGGCUCGCACCGCGCCGCCCUCCGUUUCCCUCCCCUCUCCUCCCGCGCGGCCGCACGAGGCGCGAGGCGCGGGGGCGGCACUGACAGGGCCGGGCCGCGCCUCCUCAGCGCAGGGCCUGACGGGAACCGUGUCGCGCUGCGUCGUUCUCCAGCGAAAACCGAUCAAGGGGACUGCACAAUCCUUUUGAAUGCUGUGCAAGGGACAACGGAAGGUCAGAGUGCAAAGAACAGGGGUCCUCAUACCUCCCUGCAAGCAAAUUCUUCUCAGUUAUCCCAGCCUUACUGUAUCAUGGAACACAUAACCUUCUCCCUUUCAGGAUACAAGCAGCACGACCAAAG